CACACGGACAGACAGAACAAAGUGGACGAUGCCUCCUUAGUGUCUGGAAGUUCCUGUCUCUGGGUGGCGCUUCUGGGCGAUGACGUGAUGGGUACAUUCAAGACAAGCAGCCAAGGACAGAGGGCUUCACAAUCAUCGUGUCAGCCAUCCUAAAACAAAAAAGGAGUCUCAUUUGGAAAAUUACUCAGGAAACAGGACCACACCUCCUGUUCCCCCCACUGGAUCUUAUGUGUGCCUUUGGACAAACUUGGCCCCAGCCUCUGUGACUAUGCUCAAGUGCAAGUUGUAGGAUCCUAGUUCCUCAACCAUGCAUAGACUCCAUGACAGCUGCAGGGGAUUGGAGGAGCCCUAACCACUGGACUGCCAAGGAAUUUCCUCCAACGAGUGACUUGAGGUAACCGUGGAUUGCAAGCACCUGCCUUCUCUGCCCCUGCGGCCCUCCAGGCUCUGCUCUCAGCCCACACACCUGUCAGUGAACUUGGGGACUUGGACGGUGUUACCUUGUCACUUCCUGGCCUUGGAACAUGUUGUUCUCUCUUCCUGGAAAUUUGUCACUACUCAAUUCCUUCUCCUGUGGCCAGCUCUACCCAUCAGCUUAGACAUCACGUCCCUCAGGAAGCCU